rnacentral:ncRNA from 1 species
AGUGACCGGCCGGGCAUCCAUGUGCCCGGCCCGCAAGUGGAGGCUCCGCGCUCCCACCUGAUCGGCCUUGCGGCCGGCAGGUCUUCGGUCAGGCUGCGCCCCGCGAUGAGCCGCGGUGGUGCUCCCGGUCUGUGGAGCCCCGCCUGCGUGCUGCCCGGGGCGUUUUUU